CUACGGGUUGCUCCAGUGAGGAAUAUUGCACAAUGGAGGAAACUCUGAUGCAGCAACGCCGCGUGGAGGAUGACGCAUUUCGGUGUGUAAACUCCUUUUAUAUGUCAAGAAAAUGACGGUAGCAUAUGAAUAAGCACCGGCUAACUCCGUGCCAGCAGCCGCGGUAAUACGGAGGGUGCAAGCGUUACUCGGAAUCACUGGGCGUAAAGGACGCGUAGGCGGGAUAUCAAGUCAGGUGUGAAAUCCUACAGCUUAACUGUAGAACUGCACUUGAAACUGGUAACCUAGAGUAUGGGAGGGGGAGAUGGAAUUAGUGGUGUAGGGGUAAAAUCCGUAGAUAUCACUAGGAAUACCUAAAGCGAAGGCGAUCUCCUGGAACAUAACUGACGCUAAGGCGUGAAAGCGUGGGGAGCAAACAGGAUUAGAUACCCCGGUAGUC
rnacentral:rRNA from 1 species